rnacentral:lncRNA from 1 species
CUAAUAUGAUGUGAAUGGAGUUUUUGAAAAUAUUUUAAAAUUAUUUUAGUCAUUAAUUUAAAUCUGAUUUGUAUGUAUGUGGUAUGUGCUUAGUUAGUUUUAGAUCUAAUUUUUUAUAUAUGUGAUAUGUGAUAGUUAAUUUUUAGAUCUAAAAUAACUAUAUAUGUGAUAUAUGAUAUUAAAUUUAGAUCAGAAAUUAUUUCGAGAUCAUAAGUCAUUAAUUUAUGUAUUUAAAUGUAAUCUAAAAAUUAUUUUUAGAAUCUAAUUUUUAGUUAAGUAUGAGGGUAUGGGUAGAAC